AUGCCGGAUGCUCCGACUCCUCGCAUGGGGUGUCGGGAAAGAUUUCAUCGGUAUGGGAUGGGGUCGCGUCCUAUCAGGUAGUCGGCGGGGUAACGGCCCACCGAGCCUACGACGGGUAGCCGGCCUGAGAGGGCGACCGGCCACAUUGGGACUGAGAUACGGCCCAGACUCCUACGGGAGGCAGCAGUGGGGAAUAUUGCACAAUGGGCGCAAGCCUGAUGCAGCGACGCCGCGUGCGGGAUGACGGCCUUCGGGUUGUAAACCGCUUUUGAUCGGGAGCAAGCCUUCGGGUGAGUGUACCUUUCGAAUAAGCACCGGCUAACUACGUGCCAGCAGCCGCGGUAAUACGUAGGGUGCAAGCGUUAUCCGGAAUUAUUGGGCGUAAAGGGCUCGUAGGCGGUUCGUCGCGUCCGGUGUGAAAGUCCAUCGCUUAACGGUGGAUCUGCGCCGGGUACGGGCGGGCUGGAGUGCGGUAGGGGAGACUGGAAUUCCCGGUGUAACGGUGGAAUGUGUA
rnacentral:rRNA from 1 species